AAAAAAUAUUAGUUACUCAUUUGAAGUCAAAUGGAACUGGGUGUCCUUUGUUUUACCUGGCAUCUUUUCGGUAUGACCUUGAAGCACCUGGUUUACUUGUGGUAAAAUGAUCUUUCUCAGUUACCUAGAUAUUUUGGGUAUUGUUUUAGGAUUCUCUGGAGUCACAGAACGUAUGGAAUGUCCCUAUAUAUUAACAUAAUUUAUUGUAAUGACUUAACAACCUGCAGUCCAACUAACCCCACAAUGGGCACCUGUGAAAGGAACGUCCGAGAAUCUAGUAGUUGCUUAGUCCCACGAAGCUAAUUGUUUUGGCUGGUCUUCUGUAUCCUAAAGAAGUGGGUUCCAACAGAUGUGCCAGCAAGUAAGUGCAAGCAGGAGAAGAAGAGCCAGUCUUCCUUCUUCCAAUGUCCUUAUGUCGGCCUCCAGCAGAAGGGGUGGCCCAGAUGAAAGGUGUGUAUUACAGCUAGAUCUGGGAUUUGAUUUGUCCCAGGCUGACCUUGACCUCAAAGAUUUGUUUGUCUCACUCUCCUGGUUACGGCUAAAGGCAUGCUUGAAUUGAAUACCUUGCCUGGGAGCCACUCUCCCUCAAGAUCUUCAUGUCAAGAUCCAGGUAAGGAACUUGUGUGUUCCAGGUUCAAGAUCUGGAUCACAAGUGUGCCCUCCAUUUCUGGAUUGUAGUUCAUUCUAGAUGUAGUCAGCUUGACAACCAGGAAUAGCCAUCACAGGCAUGCUAUUAGACAUUCACACAAAGUCAGCAAGUUACAUUUCAGUGUCUUCCUUUAAGAGUACAACUGAGAAGAAAGAAAACUUGCAGGAGUCUUCUAACCAAAAGAUCUAGAAAAAGAAGUCCUGUUAUGUUAUGUGGAUUGGUCUUGAGUAAUUUAAAUGAAUAUUGGCUACUCUUGCAUAUAAAUUGAAAUUGUUUAGGGUAAAAGUCCACACUUCCUGGUCUUUGUAUGAUUUGAAAGCAGUCAUUGGCACCUGAACUUGAACUCUGUCCUCCUCCCUGGAUGUUACUGGGCUGUAGGGUCUGUCACGGUUCAUCCUUUGUUUGAUUCACUCAAAGCAUUUCGCUUGAAUGUAUUUAAAAAAAAAUCUACAGUUGGGAACUUACUUAUAAUAGAGGUGUUUCUAGGCUGUGAAGUUAAAACAGUAGAAUCAAUGACUUUAGGACUUUUCUUUCUUUGUGUGUAUGUCCCAUGAAAGCAUGACACUCCUGUGGAGGUUGGAAGGCUUCCUUGGGUGUUUGUUCUUGUUUGAGACAGUCUUUGUUUAUUGCAGAAUACACCAGGCCAACUGACCCUCCAGCUUCCCAGGCUGGUAUCACAGAUCCAUGCUGCCACAUCAGGGUCACAUGUCUGGACACUCAAACUCAAGGCCUCAAGGUUGAGUCACUUCCCCAGCCCUUGAGAACAAUUUUUUGAUUGGUUUUUGAAUGACCAUUUAGUGUCAUUGAGAAAGAUGAAACUGUAAUUGUCAUUGCCUCUCUUAGUCCCAGACGACUAAGCCCAGGUUCUCAACUUGACAACCUGGACGAAAGCAGAAGGAGAUUUUUAAAAAAUGUUUCUUCAUCUGUCUCGUAGCUCUGUAGUAGUGACUGAGACAAGAUUUAGAAAUAUGAUCAGUAAAUCCUUGCUGUGUUAUCCCAGUGUGUAACCAGAGCAGCAAACCCCUGGGCUGAAAACACUUGUCGGUAAAAGGACAAUGUCUCUCUCCAGUGCUCUUUUAAUCUUUAUUGAAUGAAUGAACAAAAUAUCUGC
rnacentral:lncRNA from 1 species